CUUAAACUGUGAAACAAUCCAUUGUCCCGGUAUCUCACAGCCUUAAACCCUAACUAUGCCCUCUGUUCUUCUUUCCCUUUCUUCUUCUGCUGCCUUCUUUUCAAAUUUUAGUCGCAGAAGCACAAUGAAAGAAGGUGAAAAGACCUCUGUUGGAGCAGACUCACUAAAGAAGAAAGAGAAGCUGAGGAAAACUAAAUUGAAUAAAAAAAGACAAAGAAGACAGGGAUGCCAUAACGAAGAAGAAGUGUCGAACAAGAAGGCCGCGAAGAAAGUUCAAAACGAAGAAGAAAAAGAACCUCAAAAGAAGAAACAAGCACAACAAGAAUCAUAAAUUGGUUCCGAUUCUGAGUCUGGCUGCGAGUCUGAUUAUCCUGUACAUUUCUACUGUAUAAUGUCUUUCAUUUGUUUAUUUUGCAAUUCUAAGUUUGUUUAUUCACCUGUCAUUGAUACUGGAGAAACACAAAACUUCUGAAGGGAUUGCUGUGUGUUAGAACUCGUAUUUUGGUGACCCGCAGGAGAAUGAUACAACCCUCCUCUUGAGUACAUUCCAACACAAGAAAAAAUUAACUCCUAUCAGUUGAUGUAUGAUGAAGACAGUGGUGAAUCCAGACAUAAAACUUAGAGGGGUCAAUGUUGUAAUAACAUAUAUAUUUUAAGAGUAGUGAUGUGCACAAUUUUUGUACACAAUUUUGUGUAUAAACAACAAUAUUUCAUUAUAUGAUUAGAUAGUAAAAAAUUAAAGAUAAAACAAUACUCAGUCACAUAAUGAUACAUCAUUAUUUGUGCACAAAGUUGUACCAAACGGUAAUAUACAAUGUAGCUGAAAGCGUUUAUUUAUUUUUAUUUGAUUCUAGCUUGCUAAAAUGAAUUUGAUCUGCAUAGAUUCACAUCAUUUAGAAGCAUUCCUGCGAAUGAGAAUGCUGUUAAGGACUCCUUUAAACAUUGUAUGGCCCUGUACUUGUGAUCAAGAGUUCGGAAGAAGUGGAUCAAUAUUGAUCCUGAAUCUUUAAAGCCCAAGCUGCCAAGUCGAAAGGAUCUGAAGCCUUAUCCUUCGACUUGCUACCUUGAGUAUAAAGGUCAUAAGGGUGCAGUUUUGUCAAUUUCUAGUGAUGCUUCAGGGCAGUUGAUUGCUUCAGGCUUUACUAAUGGGACUGCGUAUAUUUGGGAGAUUGAGUCUGGUAAAUGUCUCAGUCUGGGAGAUUGGUGAAACUGUGCAGUAUGUGGAAUCCUGUGCCUGAGUUUCCUCUAUUGGCUGUUCUGCGUACAGCUAAUUUCCUGCUCUUUUAGUCUGUUAACCUUUCUCUUUAGUCAUUUGCCAUCUGAAUCAUAUUACUCAUGGAUGUAAAUCGACUACAAUAACUUUUAGGGGACAAGAUGUACUAAUUUUAUACACUGGAUUUGGGAAUGAAGAAAACCAAAGAAAAAGCAAGGAACUUCUACAUGUUCAGAGUCCUACAGCACCAGACGACUCUGACAACAUGUCAUCCAUUGUGAGUUGGCAUCAAGAUGACAAACAUGAUGGAAUUAGGUUGAAGCAUUUUAAGGUAUCUUUUGGCCAUGUUGUUCAUUGAUCUCUUUAUAGUAGAAUAUUUUUGGUAGUUUUAGACUCAAGCCCAGUUGUAUGUUUAUUUUCUUAAGUACUUAGCUGCUUGCGUUCAUGGGUUUUGCAGAUUGUGACUUUACUCAAAUAUUCAUGCUAUGCUCGAGGGGCUUGUUUUAAACCAUAAAGAGCUUUUUGAAGUUUAAAAACAUGGUUUGGAAAAUCAUGAUUUUCAAAUCUGGGAGAUUGUUCAACAUAAACUUCUUCCAUGAUAAAUCCAUUUAAAAAAACACUUUUGACAUCCAUUUGAUAUAAAAUAAAAUUUUUAGAACAUGCAAACGCCAAAAGCAUCGUAAUGGAUUCUAAACUAGCUAUCGGUGCAAAAGUUUUUUCAAAAUCUAUUCUCUCUUCUUGGUUGUAGCCUUGAGCCACUAAUCUAACUUUAUUUUUAACAACCACUCCGGACUCAUCCAUUUUGUUUCUAAAAACCUAUUUUAUGUUAAUAACAGAUUGUUGAUCCAAAUGUGGGACUAAUUUCCAAACAUUAUUUCUUUCGAAUUGAUUUAGUUCCUCUUGCAUGACUAAAAUCCAAAACUCCUCAUUUAAUGCAUCAUGAAAUGUUUUUG